rnacentral:rRNA from 1 species
AUUGAACGCUGGCGGCAGGCUUAACACAUGCAAGUCGAGCGAGCGGCGGACGGGUGAGUAAUGUCUGGGAAACUGCCUGAUGGAGGGGGAUAACUACUGGAAACGGUAGCUAAUAAAGCAUACCAUCAGAUGUGCCCAGAUGGGAUUAGCUAGUAGGUGGGGUAAUGGCUCACCUAGGCGACGAUCCCUAGCUGGUCUGAGGGGAUGACCAGCCACUCUGGAACUGAGACACGGUCCAGACUCCUACGGGAGGCAGCAUUGGGGAAUAUUGCACAAUGGGCGCAAGCCUGAUGCAGCCAUUCCCCGUGUGUGAAGAAGGCCUGCGGGUUGUAAAGCACUUUCAGCGAGGAGGCGUUACUCGCAGAAGAAGCACCGGCUAACUCCAUGCCAGCCUCCGCGGUAAUAC